UACGGAGGGCGCAAGCGUUGUUCGGAAUCACUGGGCGUAAAGCGCGUGUAGGCGGCUUGGUAAGUCGGGGGUGAAAGCCCGGGGCUCAACCCCGGAACUGCAUUCGAAACUGCCUCGCUCGAGUCCCGGAGAGGGUGGUGGAAUUCCCGGUGUAGAGGUGAAAUUCGUAGAUAUCGGGAGGAACACCAGUGGCGAAGGCGGCCACCUGGACGGUGACUGAUGCUGAGACGCGAAAGCGUGGGGAGCAAACAGG
rnacentral:rRNA from 1 species